GUGCUCAUUCCGGCAGUACGUAUCCUAAAAUUGGAAUAAUACAGAGAAGAUUAGCAUAGCCCCUGCACAAGGAUGACAUGCACAUUCAUGAAGCGUUAUAUAUAUUU